rnacentral:rRNA from 1 species
UACGUAGGGUGCGAGCGUUGUCCGGAUUUAUUGGGCGUAAAGAGCUCGUAGGCGGUCUGUCGCGUCGGAUGUGAAAACCCAGGGCUCAACCCUGGGCCUGCAUUUGAUACGGGCAGACUAGAGUACGGCAGGGGAGACUGGAAUUCCUGGUGUAGCGGUGAAAUGCGCAGAUAUCAGGAGGAACACCGGUGGCGAAGGCGGCUAUCUGGCACACAACUGACGCUGAGGCACGAAAGCGUGGGGAGCAAACAGG